CCAAUGGCCUCCCCUCUCCCUGCACCGCAGUUGCUGGGGCCUGGGCAGGCCUCAGCUCCGCCAUCUCCCCUUCCCCUGCAUGCAUCCAAUGGGGCUCGACCUGCCAAGUGCAGCCUGGCAGAGACAAGGGCUAGGCUGCCCUUGUAACCUCUUUGCCAACCAGAAAAGAAAAAUAGGUUUCCUGGGAUUUUUUGGUUUUUUGCAGGGUUGUUCACAGAACUGUAUCAGGUUUCUCAGUGGUUUAACAGAUUUUAUAUUCUCAAAGCCUAAUUAAACAUUGGGGUAUUUUUGUCAGACACAGAGAAGCUGCUAGCAGAUUAUCUUUGCAUCACACAUGGUUAAGGUUAAGGAGGUUAAAUCUGAAAACUAUUAAAAUCAGAAAAGUUAGUCAAAUAGCAGAAUUCCCCAAAAUAUAUCUUUUACAGAGAACAAAGAAAAAAACAGGACUUCAUAAGACAAUUCAUAAUAAACUCUUCUUAAUUUGUAGGUUGACUAAAGAGUUGUGUAAAUUUUAUAAUUGGCUUUGUUAAAAGGGACUAUUGUAGAUUUAUUUUGUAUUUUGAAAUUUUGUAGGCUAAUUGUGCAAGUAUAAUUUAGUAUUUCAGUCUCAAUUCUGACUCUAAUGGUGAUGUGCCUUGAGUCAGGCAAAACAAACUGGCGUGGCAAUCAUGGUAAUUAUUUAAGAAAGCUACACUCUAAGGAUUUCUUUUUCAUGGCCUUUGAUAUAACCACUCACAGUAUGAAAAUCAGACAUUCAUGAUUUAUUGGCAGGAAUUCAUUAAACACAGUUGUCUCUGCAUUUAGACAUUCUGAAAGGAACACAGUCAGAAGUUACUUACAUGUGACAAAUAUUUACAGGGAAGUGAAAAACAUUUCAUUGUCAUGUGAGAGAAGGAAACGAAACUUUCUGAAGACACUGCUGUGAAUAAUUUGGUCAUAUAUGGUAACUAUGUAUCUGUAAUAACUAUAAAUCUUAUUGAUAUUACUUGGCACCACAGGGCUGGACUCACUACAUCAGUUCACCAGACUCCGUUAAAGAGGUUGCUGCGCUGCAAUAGUAUGAACCAAGAUACUUGAGAAGAACUCCUAAUUUAUGAUAAAGGAAGACCCAGACUGGAAUACUCAUGUUGAAAGGAAAAAAGAGGCUCAGGAAAAAAACAGAUGGAGAAGACACAAGCAAACUGGCCUACCUAAACCUGCAUCCUCUCUAAAACGGAGGAGAAGGAGAAAGAAGGAGAAGGAGAAGGAGAAGGAGAAGGAGAAGGAGAAGGAGAAGGAGAAGGAGAAGGAGAAGGAGAAGGAGAAAAUCUGUGGAUCUCAUACUCAGUAUACUCACUUCAGAAAAUCAGAAAAAUUAUUUCUUUUUCAAAUUCUGUAAAACUUGUGUUCCAGCAGGGUCAAACAAAACUGUUUGGAAAUCAAUUAUGUUUAUUAAAUAAAAGGAAAAAGUCUUCUCAGUCA